rnacentral:rRNA from 1 species
UACGUAGGGGGCAAGCGUUAUCCGGAUUUACUGGGUGUAAAGGGGGCGCAGACGGCGAUGCAAGCCAGGAGUGAAAGCCCGGGGCCCAACCCCGGGACUGCUCUUGGAACUGCGUGGCUGGAGUGCUGGAGAGGCAGACGGAAUUCCUAGUGUAGCGGUGAAAUGCGUAGAUAUUAGGAGGAACACCAGUGGCGAAGGCGGUCUGCUGGACAGCAACUGACGCUGAGGCGCGAAAGCGUGGGGAGCAAACAGG